rnacentral:rRNA from 1 species
UACAGAGGUCCCAAGCGUUGUUCGGAUUCAUUGGGCGUAAAGGGUGCGUAGGCGGCGCGGUAAGUCGGGUGUGAAAUCUCGGGGCUUAACUCCGAAACUGCAUUCGAUACUGCCGUGCUUGAGGACUGGAGAGGAGACUGGAAUUUACGGUGUAGCGGUGAAAUGCGUAGAUAUCUGGAGGAAUACCGGUGGCGAAGGCGGCAUCCUGGACCGGCAUUGACGCUGAUGAGCGAAAGCUAGGGGAGCAAACGGG